CACUGUCUGAUUCACUGUCUUCACUCUGCAGAUGAUAUCUUUCCUGCUGGAGUUCCUGACUGGGUCCUGCCGCUGGUCCUCACCAUUUGUCUUCUCAUUGCCGCCCACGGUGCUGUGUUUUAUUGGAACGUGAAACAAAACAGAUGCAUUAAAGAGCUGGAACGGCGCAAAUCCAUCGUAGAAAAUGGGUGGAAAAGGAUACGAGGCCACCAAGUCUCCGUCAC